AAGAAUUAGGAGAAGCGGUGAAACUAGGUCCAAGGCGGGAAGCGCCUCGGUAAAAUUGAGGGAAAUAAAGAGGAUAUCCUUUGAGGGAUGAUGGGUGAGGACCUACCACAACAGAAGCGUGGCGGCGGCCGAAAACAGAGGGACUGGCGGGGUUCAAGCUAAGGGAAGCUUGGACGAUACCAUCUACGGAUGGGGGGUUAGGGCGAUACCAUCUUGAGGGAGUUAGGGGGUGGCAAAGAACAGACUUGGAAGGUGCUACUUGGAGGAGGCGGGGCGCACGUGGGAACCCAAAGGGACUGGGCAGUCGCCCACAUCCGCACUUCCCUUCCCCAGCCGUCCCGAUCCUGCCAUGAGCGCUGCGGUGCGGACCGAGCCGCUGCGCGGGGAGCCGCCUCUGCUGGUGCGCGGCCACCCCUACUCGGUGGUGGUCCUGCUUCAGGGCUACGCGGAGCCGGAGGGGGUCGACGACGCGGUACGCGCCGACGGCUCCGUGACGCUUGUGCUGCCUCAGGCCUGGGGCUCAGCCUCCAGCCACCAAGAGUCCCCGCCCCACAGCGGCGGGGCGAAGACCGCCCUGGAAGAGGCGGCCCGUGGCCCCAUCCUCGUGGACACUGGGGGCCCCUGGGCUCGGGAGGCGCUCCUGGGGGCCCUGGCGGGGCAGGGCGUGGCCCCUGGAGACGUGACGCUGGUGGUGGGCACCCACGGACACUCGGAUCACAUCGGGAACCUGGGGCUUUUUCCUGGGGCGGCUCUGCUGGUCUCGCACGACUUCUGCCUCCCCGGAGGCCGCUACCUCCCGCACGGGCUAGGUGAGGAGCGGCCCCUGCAGCUGGGCCCCGGGCUCGAGGUGUGGGCCACGCCGGGCCAUGGGGGCCAGCGAGACGUAAGCGUGGUGGUGGCGGGCACGGCCCUGGGCACCGUGGUGGUGGCAGGCGACGUGUUUGAACGCAGCGGAGACGAAGACUCAUGGCAAGCGCUGAGCGAAGACCGGGUGGCCCAGGAGCGGAGCCGGAAGAGGGUCCUAGGUACUGCGGACGUAGUCGUGCCUGGUCACGGAGCCCCCUUUAGGGUGGUCAGAGAAGCCCCUCAGCCACGGAACUGAUGUCCAGAAGACCAGAGGUCAGUGUGAUCGCUUCCAGCCCCCUUGCAAGAGGCCGGUUUUCCAGCGAGGACAGUCAUCUCUAUCACUGGUUCUGCAACCAAACUAGGACCAAGGACUGGCUCAAGCCGAGUGCCACCUCUUGGGGGGGGGGGGUUCCCCGUAAAGUGGGAGAAUGUUCUUGGGAGGGUCGUCCAAAAUAAAAAUAGGAAACUGCGUGGAAAAUCAUAAAGCCCUAAGCUCUGACUCCUUGCCCAGGACAUCAGUGUCUGACCCUGCCCAGGCUCUGGAGAAGCUCCAGUAUCCUGUCCGAUCUGCAAACACAGGGGCACCACUCAAAGUCCUCCCUGUUCACUUCUUCCUACGGUAAGCUCCAGGUGUCUUGCCAGGGGGCUUUGGGGCAGGGAUCCCAGGGUAGGAUGAGAAUUGAUGGGUCAAAGCUGUAGGAGGGAGAAAAAAAUAAUAGGGCUAAAUAACAAGAAGUUCCCCAAAGCAAGCAACCAGCUUGUCUGAGGACAAAGAAGCUAGAAUGAUGCCCAAGGGCCCGACCCCAUCAGCUCAUCCCGGGCCGGUCCCAUGGUGGGGGUGGGGGGAGGGGGGAAGAAGGGCCGGGACCCCAGGAGCCCGGCCUCAGGAGGCUGGAGGUGUCCCCCCUGACGAUGACGCCUCCAGUGACCUGGACCUGGAGCAGUUCCUGGAAGAUGUUGGGAAAGAGCCAGAGCAGCUGGAGGAGCCGUGGUGUGGAGAUGAUGCUGGGGACUUCACCUUGGCCGCCUUCGAGGAAUAGCUGUGUGCACCGGGUCCCUGCUGCUCUCUCACCCCCUGCCCUGCUCGCAGCAGGGAGAACCCCUCAGAGGGUCCCUGAGAAGCUGCCAAGUGUGGGGCUUGGUCACCGGCUACAGGUCAACUGGCUGAAGUCCUAGCUGUGCAGUUCCCGUGUUAAUAAAACAGGUUACCGCUCUC